GUACUCAGGAUUUAGUUGUCCAAGUUCAAAUAUCGGUGGAACCUUUUUUCAGUUCCAAAAAAAUAAAAAGAAAAUUAAUUCCCUUCACGCACUUUUUUUUUUUUCCUUAUCAUCGUAGGCGGGAGAGGAAUUCAUCGAAUCCCUAAUCUCCUCAGUAUGCAACAGACUAAAAACUCAAAACGAAUUUUCCUGCAAAACAGCGAAAACGAUUUCGUUCUUAAUUCUAUACCUCUUCCUCUCAUUAUCUCUCCUCUCCUUUUUCUACCUCUACAUUAUGGAAAAAGAAACUCGACAAAAAAUCGAGGAAACGGUGAGGGAAAUACUGAGCAAAGCUGAUAUGGAAGAGAUGACUGAGUUCAAAGUCCGAGUCGCGGCUUCGGAGCGACUCGGAAUCGACCUCUCUGAUUUUAAUCACAAGAAGUUUGUUAGAGAAGUGAUCGAGUCUUUUCUUCUCUCUACUGUCGAAGAAAAUGGCGAUGUUGAGGAACUCAAUUCGAAGCUUCGAGAAGAAGAGGCUAAAAUUAAAAUUAAGAAAGAAAUCGACGGCGACGGAGAUCGCCUUAUUUGCAAGCUAGCAGACAAGAGGAAUGUGGUGGUUCAUGAAUUUAGAGGAAAAACUUAUGUAUCGAUUAGGGAGUUCUAUGUAAAAGACGGAAAAGAGCUCCCAUCUGCAAGAGGAGUUAGCUUGACAAGCGAAAUUUGGUCAGCUUUAAAGAAUAGUUUCCCUGCAAUUGAUGCAGCUGUAAAAAAGAUGCAAUCAAAGCUAAGUACAAAACUUGAUGGUGAACAAAAUGGAGAUGUGUCUAACUCAGUGACUGCUUUUUCUCAUGAAUUUUCCCCUAUUGAAACCACACGUUUUGAUGGGAAGAAUUACCAUUGCUGGGCAGAACAGAUGGAACUUUUCUUAAAGCAAUUACAGUUCGCAUACGUGCUUACUGAUCCAUGCCCUAGUCUUACUCUUAGUCCCGAAGCAAGCAGUGAAGAAUCUGCUCAAGCCAAAGCUACUGAAAAGAAGUGGAUGAAUGAUGACUACCUUUGUCGCCACAGCAUUUUGAGCUCUUUAUCUGAUAAUCUGUAUUAUCAAUUCUCAAAGAAAACUAAGAGUGCUAAAGAGCUGUGGGAAGAGCUAAAAUUAGUUUAUCUUUAUGAGGAAUUCGGAACAAAGAGAUCUCAAGUUAGAAAGUACAUUGAGUUUCAAAUUGUUGAUGGAAGACCAAUUCUCAAGCAAAUGCAAGAACUCAAUAGCAUAGCCGAUUCUAUUGUUGCAGCUGGAAUGAUGAUUGAUGAGAACUUUCAUGUUAGCACCAUCAUCUCCAAGCUUCCACCAUCCUGGAAGGACUUCUGUGUUAAGCUGAUGCGUGAGGAAUACCUGCCCUUCAGGAUGUUGAUGGAUCAUAUAAGAGUUGAGGAAGAGUCUCGUAACAGAGUCAAACAAGCGGAGCAUUCAAAGUAUGAAAGCUUUUAUCCAGCCAACAAUCUUGGCCCAAGGAUAAGAGAUAUGAAGAAACCAGGGGUACCUUGGAAAAGGCGAGAAUCAGAAAUGCAUGGCAGGCCCCCCAUAUGUAACUAUUGUGGCAGGAAGGGACACCUUUCCAAGUUCUGUCGUAAUAGAAGAUGUGAAAAAGAAGUGAAUGGAAAACAAAAUGGGGAGAAUUCAACUAUGCCUUCUGUUUCAAAGGUCAACGUAGUUGAGAGCAAUGUGUAGUUAAUUGAAACAGAUGCUGUUUUGCUAGGCUUAGGUUUGGCUGUUCAGUUGUAUUGGAGAGCAGACAAUCUGCUUAUCUUUUACCUUGCCUAUACUUAAGCCAAAUCUCAGCUUCUACAGAUUGGUUUCAGUUGCCAAACCGACUGGCAAAUGUAAACUCCAGUUUUGGCUACCUCAAACUGGUUGUUUUCCCAUGAAUUAACUCGACAAGCUGAAGGAUAAAAACAAAAGGUUCGUUCAUUUACAGCUCCGUUGCAGCAGGGUUGGUCUCGAGUCUCGACCACCCUUGAACAGCGACCGCUGUCAGCUAUGGGCUUCAUUCAUUCAUUCAACCUUCGAACCAAAGAACGGGGAGCCAGGUGCAGUAUUUGAAUUCAGGAAAUAAUAUCGAGCAGGCCCACUUUGUUUAUCAAAGCCCAUCCUUCGGGCUAGAGCAUAUCCUCUCCAAGCCCAAAUUGUUCAGGUCUAUGACUGUUGGGCUAAACUAUUCCACCCAACACUUCAAAAUUAUAAUAAACACAAGUGGAAAUGUUGCUGUCAUUGCAGUUUUGCCAAAAACGUGCUUUACCAAACACCGCGUAUCGUGUUUGGUCACAGUUU